UGGGGCAACACUCAUCAUCACCACUUCCUCAAUUCACAGCUUACUCCUGCUCCAGAGAACUUCUGCUUGCUGCCUCGUACCCUAGCUAGCAAGGCAAGCUAGCCGGUCGAUCUAUACUAGGAAGGAAGGGCUAAUGGCCGGUAGGGAUAGGGACCCGCUGGUGGUUGGCAGGGUUGUGGGGGACGUGCUGGACCCCUUCGUCCGGACCACCAACCUCAGGGUGACCUUCGGGAACAGGACCGUGUCCAACGGCUGCGAGCUCAAGCCGUCCAUGGUCGCCCAGCAGCCCAGGGUUGAGGUGGGCGGCAAUGAGAUGAGGACCUUCUACACACUCGUGAUGGUAGACCCAGAUGCUCCAAGUCCAAGCGAUCCCAACCUUAGGGAGUAUCUCCACUGGCUUGUGACAGAUAUCCCCGGUACAACUGGUGCGUCGUUCGGGCAGGAGGUGAUGUGCUACGAGAGCCCUCGUCCGACCAUGGGGAUCCACCGCUUCGUGCUCGUACUCUUCCAGCAGCUCGGGCGGCAGACCGGUGUACGCCCCCGGGUGGCGCCAGAACUUCAACACCAGGGACUUCGCCGAGCUCUACAACCUCGGCCCGCCUGUCGCCGCCGUCUACUUCAACUGCCAGCGUGAGGCCGGCUCCGGCGGCAGGAGGAUGUACAAUUGAUCUACCCACGGCCCUCGUACGCCACCAGCCCGCCGCCAAGUCAGCAAAUUAUCCAACGUGGCUAGUUUACUAGUAUAUAGUUUGUGAUAAGAAGCCAGCCACGAAUUAAGCAUUACCUAUAUAUUGGCAACACAUACACUACAUAUAUGCAUACUAUGAUCGAUGUAUAACUAGCCGCAUGCAUAUAUGCAAUCAACGGCUAAUUAAGGGGGGUGAACCCUAGAUCAAUGGCUUGGUACUGCACUAUAUAAUAUAGUCUGCAAUAAACUGAUGCCAAUAGUAUACAGCACACAAUAUUGGAGGAGCUACACGCCAUGUGCAACUUAGUGCUACCUGGUACAUAUCUGCAGGUUGGUCUUGUGCGUUCACUUAUGCGUGCAUGAACAUCAGUCAAUCAUAUAGACAUAGUUAUGCAUGGGAGACAAACAUGUAACUGACAGCGACUGCUACAAGACACAGUGAUAUGUACGCACUUAGCGCAGUAGCAAAGCACAUGCAUGUGUUGGGUCUUGUACAACUUCCUCAUGAUUAUGGCAAUAUAAUCAAGUGUCAUGUUAUGUAUGA